ACCUUUAUACUAGCGGUUAGGAUUCCUGGAUUUCACUCAGGCGGCCCGGGUUCGACUCCCGGUAUGGGAA
rnacentral:tRNA from 1 species